GUCGUAGUCCGGAUCGGAGUCUGCAACUCGACUCCGUGAAGUCGGAAUCGCUAGUAAUCGUGGAUCAGAAUGCCACGGUGAAUACGUUCCCGGGCCUUGUACACACCGCCCGUCACACCAUGGGAGUGGGUUGCAAAAGAAGUAGGUAGCUUAACCUUCGGGAGGGCGCUUACCACUUUGUGAUUCAUGACUGGGGUGAAGUCGUAACAAGGUAACCGUAGGGGAACCUGCGGUUGGAUCACCUCCUUACCUGAAGAUAC
rnacentral:rRNA from 1 species